rnacentral:lncRNA from 1 species
AGCUUAUCUGAAGUCUAAAUUAUUUACAAGUUAGACUCUGGCCUAUGAGGAUGCACUGAGAUGUGGAAGGGAACGGGAACAUGGAAGAAGAUGUUUUUAACAUAGAGCACACAGUUAUUAAAUGUGGUAGCCAGGAGUUGAAUCCAAUCACAAUGGUGCUGGAACCAUCUACAACUGGGAGGAGGUAUUGUUACCACUUCUAUUUUACAGCAGAGGAACCCCUGCAUACCUGGGGCCCAUCAGGAAACCCUGACUGUUACAGAAGGGCCAGACUCAGGCCCUUACAUUAGAAAAGGACUCCCGUUGCCCUGCUGACCCUUUGCACAGGAUGACACAUGUGCCUUUUGUUUUCUGUAAAGCUACCAACUGCCCUGUGUAAAGGAAAUCAAUCUGAGGUCCCUUGGAAGGGGAAAUAUAGAGGGAAGGUCCUGGAAUGGAAAGGAGCAGAACAGGCUGUGCAUUUGCAGUUGGAGCAUCACAGAUCCACAAUGAAGAGGGCAAAGUAAGGCUGGCCAGGGCUGCACAGCAGAGAGGAUGUGCCUGGAAAUGGGUGACAGUGCACUCAAGGAGAAGCAUGGAGGGAGGACAUGUCAUCACCUGUUUCAUUCCACUUCUUGGGCUUAGUUUAGUUGGGCAUAGCUCCUCUUCCUCCCCUUGGCUGAUCAAUGAAUGAGAGAAAGAGCUCUGCAGUGCAUUGUGUUAGCAGCAAGCUCGACUCCGGAACUUUGAAGUCCAUAAGCACAUUGAGUGACUAUUCCUGAGUUUGCAGGAGAUGAGGAGGGGAAGAGAGUGCAGAAGCACCAAUUCCAAGUUCUUUACUCUUCUCAAUUCUUAGAAGCUGUAGAACUUGAACCUGCAAAUCUAGUAGGUCAGAUCCUCCUACCUAACGAAUCCUCUCUGGCAAUUCCCUGAAUCAGCUUGGUCUCUCCAUCAUGGUAACGCUCUCCAUGGCCUUUCUCAACUGGAAAUUUGGUGGGUGCUGAGAUUUGGCAAUCUUUAAUAUUAGUCUAACUCAAUUUAAUUAAGGAGAUAAACUUUGAGACAGAGAAGGAGGAAUAGUUGUUUUGUGAUGAAUUCUAUAAUAUAUAAUAUAUGAUAUAUAAUAUAUA